UUAAGCGACUAAGCGUACACGGUGGAUGCCCUGGCAGUCAGAGGCGAUGAAGGACGUGCUAAUCUGCGAUAAGCGUCGGUAAGGUGAUAUGAACCGUUAUAACCGGCGAUUUCCGAAUGGGGAAACCCAGUGUGAUUCGUCACACUAUCAUUAACUGAAUCCAUAGGUUAAUGAGGCGAACCGGGGGAACUGAAACAUCUAAGUACCCCGAGGAAAAGAAAUCAACCGAGAUUCCCCCAGUAGCGGCGAGCGAACGGGGAGCAGCCCAGAGCCUGAAUCAGUGUGUGUGUUAGUGGAAGCGUCUGGAAAGGCGCGCGAUACAGGGUGACAGCCCCGUACACAAAAAUGCACAUGCUGUGAGCUCGAUGAGUAGGGCGGGACACGUGGUAUCCUGUCUGAAUAUGGGGGGACCAUCCUCCAAGGCUAAAUACUCCUGACUGACCGAUAGUGAACCAGUACCGUGAGGGAAAGGCGAAAAGAACCCCGGCGAGGGGAGUGAAAAAGAACCUGAAACCGUGUACGUACAAGCAGUGGGAGCACGCUUAGGCGUGUGACUGCGUACCUUUUGUAUAAUGGGUCAGCGACUUAUAUUCUGUAGCAAGGUUAACCGAAUAGGGGAGCCGAAGGGAAACCGAGUCUUAACUGGGCGUUAAGUUGCAGGGUAUAGACCCGAAACCCGGUGAUCUAGCCAUGGGCAGGUUGAAGGUUGGGUAACACUAACUGGAGGACCGAACCGACUAAUGUUGAAAAAUUAGCGGAUGACUUGUGGCUGGGGGUGAAAGGCCAAUCAAACCGGGAGAUAGCUGGUUCUCCCCGAAAGCUAUUUAGGUAGCGCCUCGUGAAUUCAUCUCCGGGGGUAGAGCACUGUUUCGGCAAGGGGGUCAUCCCGACUUACCAACCCGAUGCAAACUGCGAAUACCGGAGAAUGUUAUCACGGGAGACACACGGCGGGUGCUAACGUCCGUCGUGAAGAGGGAAACAACCCAGACCGCCAGCUAAGGUCCCAAAGUCAUGGUUAAGUGGGAAACGAUGUGGGAAGGCCCAGACAGCCAGGAUGUUGGCUUAGAAGCAGCCAUCAUUUAAAGAAAGCGUAAUAGCUCACUGGUCGAGUCGGCCUGCGCGGAAGAUGUAACGGGGCUAAACCAUGCACCGAAGCUGCGGCAGCGACACUAUGUGUUGUUGGGUAGGGGAGCGUUCUGUAAGCCUGUGAAGGUGUACUGUGAGGUAUGCUGGAGGUAUCAGAAGUGCGAAUGCUGACAUAAGUAACGAUAAAGCGGGUGAAAAGCCCGCUCGCCGGAAGACCAAGGGUUCCUGUCCAACGUUAAUCGGGGCAGGGUGAGUCGACCCCUAAGGCGAGGCCGAAAGGCGUAGUCGAUGGGAAACAGGUUAAUAUUCCUGUACUUGGUGUUACUGCGAAGGGGGGACGGAGAAGGCUAUGUUGGCCGGGCGACGGUUGUCCCGGUUUAAGCGUGUAGGCUGGUUUUCCAGGCAAAUCCGGAAAAUCAAGGCUGAGGCGUGAUGACGAGGCACUACGGUGCUGAAGCAACAAAUGCCCUGCUUCCAGGAAAAGCCUCUAAGCAUCAGGUAACAUCAAAUCGUACCCCAAACCGACACAGGUGGUCAGGUAGAGAAUACCAAGGCGCUUGAGAGAACUCGGGUGAAGGAACUAGGCAAAAUGGUGCCGUAACUUCGGGAGAAGGCACGCUGAUAUGUAGGUGAAGUCCCUCGCGGAUGGAGCUGAAAUCAGUCGAAGAUACCAGCUGGCUGCAACUGUUUAUUAAAAACACAGCACUGUGCAAACACGAAAGUGGACGUAUACGGUGUGACGCCUGCCCGGUGCCGGAAGGUUAAUUGAUGGGGUUAGCGCAAGCGAAGCUCUUGAUCGAAGCCCCGGUAAACGGCGGCCGUAACUAUAACGGUCCUAAGGUAGCGAAAUUCCUUGUCGGGUAAGUUCCGACCUGCACGAAUGGCGUAAUGAUGGCCAGGCUGUCUCCACCCGAGACUCAGUGAAAUUGAACUCGCUGUGAAGAUGCAGUGUACCCGCGGCAAGACGGAAAGACCCCGUGAACCUUUACUAUAGCUUGACACUGAACAUUGAGCCUUGAUGUGUAG
rnacentral:rRNA from 1 species